UGCUUUUCUGAAAAACCUGAAAGGGAAAAUUAAUUGAAGUGGUGUGCGCCUGAGUGGAGGUUUUGGAGUGGAAUUUUAGGGUUUUUUGCAGAAGAAGAAAGCGAUGAGUGAAGAGGAGAGAGAGGAGGGGAUGAAGCCAUGGGAACAGCACUCUGCUGUUAUAAGCAUACCUCGCUUUGACUACAACGCACCCUCUUCGCUGCUCGAUCACUCUCAUUCCGGAUUCCUCGUCACCUGCACCAUCAAGAGGGAGAAAAGUGCCACAAAAGAAGCCAUGCCCAUCCUUGAAAAGUAUGUUGGGUCUUUCAGUAGUUGCAGCUCUGAAAGUUUGGAAAGCUCUGAUGCGAAUGCAACUACCAAGAGAAGGAAAAUAUGCACAGAGGAAAUAGAUGAGGAAUGUGUCAACAGUGCUGAAAACAAGACUGCUAGCAAUAAUUGUGGGGAAGAUGGUGGUGAACUUUCAAAAGAUGCCGGAGUCUCCUCUGCUAAUACAGAUGCAAUUGUAGAAAAUGGUCAUGUUCUUUCACUUGUUAAGCUGACAAGGAGUGGCUUGCUUCUCUUUGCCUUUCCUAGAAACAAUUCUGUUGAUACCGUUGAUGUUGUAUCACAAAUCAUUCGAUCUCUGGAAUCUGGAAGUGUAAAGCCACCACUUUGGUGCCAUCGCAUUUUCCCUAUCCAAGCUACUUGUAGAUUAGAUGAGAAGGAACUACAUGAAGUUGUUACAAAGCUUGUUGUUCGGUUUGUGAACAAUGAACAGAACAAAUUUGCACAACCUAUUAAGUUUGCAGUAGGGUACAACAGAAGAGGGAUUGAGGAGACGGAGAUGAAGAUUCCAAAGAGUACUCCAAGAGAUUGUAAUUCACAUGCUUUAUUAGACCGCAAAAAGUGCUUCAGUGUUGUGGCUGCUGCAGUUAAAGGUGCUGUAUCAGACUCAGUGGUGGACCUCAGAUCUCCAGAGCUUUCUGUACUUGUUGAGUUGCUACCGCUUUCUCGGGUACCAAAUGGGUCGAUGGUGGUAGCUGUCUCAGUUCUUCCCCAAAAUCUUAUUACUACUAAGCCACGUCUCUGCAUUAAGGCACUGCUUUCUGACACCAAAGUGGGGAAUAGAAAGAGUUAAAUAGUUCCUGUAUUUCAAGAAACUACCUCCAUUCUAUGACCUCUGGUUUCCUUCUUGAUUUUCAAAAGGAAAUGCCCAUGCAAAAUGGAACAGCUAAGCUAAUAAUGGGAGGAAGUAAAAGACAAAAGGGUUGAGACAAAUGAGGGGAAGCAAAAAAUGGUUCGUAGGGCCUUGAGCUAGGUAGGUAGUCUGCUUCUUCUGAUAUUUGCUGACUUAGCAUUUUGGCCUGGCAUGCAACCAUUUGAGCAGCACCUUUCAGGCCAGGGUACCCCCCUUGAUUUCUCCACACCACGACACGAACCUACCUAAUCGGGUUUUUGCAGAAGCUAAUCUGGAAGGCAAUAAUUCAGCAUGGUAUAAAAAUGCUCAAAACAGUAUUGGUGCUCUGGUAAAAGCUGAUUUUCAGUUUGGGCAGGACUUUUCAAUAUUUGAGCUUGCCCAAGAGUGAUACUUGUCCAUCAGAGAAUUCGAAGUUUGAUGGCUUUCAUCAAGCUCAAGUCCAAUGAUUGUUAUAUUGGGUUAGAAGGGAACAUCUAACGAGAAAUUAUUGAGAAGCCUAACUUUUAUUUGCUGAAUUAAAGGCAUGGCUAAUCAACCAGAUUGGCCGCCGACCAUCAUCCAUGUUAAUCACUUGGAAACAUGGUGCUUCCUGCCUCCUCUAUUGGUGUUAACUUUAAUCGAGUCUGGAAAAACAUAAAGCUACUGAUACUGGAUUUAGGUUCAUCAUGCCGGAGAUAUAUUGAGCAGUAAAACUUGCUGCUAUUAGAGGGAGAUUUCGUAGACGUUACUGCAAUAGUGAGCUAACCUGCCCUUGAAGCCAAUCCAUUUUGGAUUCUUCCUGGACAGUUGAUUGAAGUAGUGGAAUUUUUCAUACAGCUACAGUUGUCCAAAGAAGAGACAAUAGAAUUCUUGCAUUGGAAGAAGCUUCGGUUAGCCUCUGGAUCAUUGAUACCAGAAAAUCAUGUCUUGAAUAAUGUUUGAAGCCAUUCUGUGUCAAAGAAAGCCCUGUUUGGAAGUGAUUCUGGAUCCUUCAAAAUCAGUUUUUAUUUAUUUAUUUAUAAGUUCUUUUAGCUA